UACCAGCACCCCGAGUGGUCGGGACGAUUAUUGGGCCUAAAGCAUCCGUAGCCGGUUCUACAAGUCUUCCGUUAAAUCCACCUGCUCAACAGAUGGGCUGCGGAGGAUACUAUAGAGCUAGGAGGCGGGAGAGGCAAGCGGUACUUAGUGGGUAGGGGUAAAAUCCGUUGAUCCAUUGAAGACCACCAGUGGCGAAGGCGGCUUGCCAGAACGCACUCGACGGUGAGGGAUGAAAGCUGGGGGAGCAAGCCGG
rnacentral:rRNA from 1 species